rnacentral:rRNA from 1 species
UACGAAGGGGGCUAGCGUUGCUCGGAAUCACUGGGCGUAAAGGGUGUGUAGGUGGCACCGUAAGUCGGGUGUGAAAUCUCGGGGCUUAACUCCGAAACUGCAUUCGAUACUGCGGUGCUUGAGGACUGGAGAGGAGACUGGAAUUCAUGGUGUAGCAGUGAAAUGCGUAGAGAUCAUGAGGAAGACCAGUGGCGAAGGCGGGUCUCUGGACAGUUCCUGACACUGAGACACGAAGGCCAGGGGAGCAAACGGG